rnacentral:tRNA from 1 species
GUUUUAAUAAUUUAAUAUAAAAUAUUGGUCUUGUAAACCAAAAAUGAAACUAAUCUUAAAACU